AUCGAUCGAACAAGGGCAGGGAGAGGGUGAAUAACCCUAAACUCAAGAAAUCAAGAAUUGAAGCUAAAAUCUCAAGAAAAUUCGAUGCAUGAGCCCUUCUUUGCGAAAAUCUGACCCUAAUUAUUGAAGUGGCGUGAAAGAAGAAGGUACAAGCACUAAGCAAGCGGAAGGAGCACGAGAUCGAGGCGUGAAAGAAGAAGGUACAAGCACUAAGCAAGCGGAAGGAGCACGAGAUCGAGGUAAAGCACCUCUAUAGGCAAUUUGGAGAUAUGGGACGAGCACAUGUUCAAGCCUUAUGAUACCAAGCGCUUCCGCAACUUAUAUGCAUGC